AGGAAGAAUAUGGAAAUAAGAAGGAUGAAGUGAAGUGAAGGACAUAUUGAAAAAUGUAAGGAAUAACUGCCAAGAUUCCUUCAGUUAUUUUCUGCAGAGCAGGUGAAAGCGUGUCUCAUGUUAAUUAAAAAGGAACAGAAAGAACGCCAGAGUCAGGGUUAACCUCAUCAUUUUCAGGGGACUCCCUGGUGAGUAUCAAAGGUAGCACUAAGUUAAGUAGGGAAAAGGCCCAUUAUUCCAAAAAUGCUACAAGGACUACAGUUUGCAUAGGAUAUUGCGAUGAGGAGACUAAUUACACUCCUUUUUAGGCUUGUAAGUAAAUAAUAUGGUUUAGGAAAAUAUAUAAUUCUCCUUGCAUAUAUUUUGAAACUUAAAAUCUUCAAUAAAAACUGUUAUGGCAAAAAAGGUCCCUAUGUGAAAAUGUAUAAGAAUUUCAGAUGUUCAUAUCUUAAUAUCUUUACCAAGUUCACCUCAUUUCAAUGAGGAAAAUCAAAUGGGUAGCAAGAGAAUGAAGAGACACAGAAAGUAAGGGACAGUUGGUAGAAAUAGGAUGAAAGAGGGAAGAAGGGAAUUUAAAAGAAGGAAGGAGGAAUGGAAGAGUUCAAGGAAGGAUGGAAGUAUAAAAAUGAAAAGGCAAAUUUUAACAUAGAAGAAAAACAAACAAGAUGCAAUGAAUUCUUUUCUGCAUAGCUGAGAGAAAGCAGUUCUUAGAUUAAUUAAGAAGGAAUAGAAAGAACCUCGAAGUCAUUGUCAACCUGGGAUUUCUCAGGGAAUCUGUUGGAGAGUAGGAAAGGUGGCCCUGGAUCCCAAUAGGGGAAGGUCCCAUCAUUCCAAAAAUGAGAUUAGGGAGAGGGACAUUAGCACAGUAUAAUGCAAUGGCCCUCACUUCAGUCUUCUUUAAACUUCUAGAUCUCCUUCAUCAGUUGAGCACCAAGAGUCAAUAAGAACGAAUAUCCUUUCUAAGUAUGGGUCACAUCCCAGCCAUACUGUUCUCUUUGGCUUGAUUUACCUUUUAAAAUCCAAACUUGUGCUGGGAAUUUUCAUUAAUGUUUUUACCAGUGACUUGCUCCCUCACUUGUGGCCAGAAUGCAUUUGGGCCCAGGAGAAUGGGGUCAUAUCCAGGCUCACAUUAAUCCAGAAAUGAUCAGGAGAAGCCUCCAAGUCGCUGACAGCCACUGAUCUCUCAGUGGACCCCCUGAUCUCAUUCAUCAGUUGCAUCCAAUGUGUCAAUAAGGACCAAGAUCUUCUGUAAGUAUGGUCACAUCCACAUAAUCCUGUUCUGUUUAGCUUGAUUUACCUCGAAGUCCAGCCUUGUGCUGAGAAGUUUUCAUCAGUGUCUUUGCCAGUGGUGUCCUCCUUCAAUUGUGGUUACAGUGAGUUUUUGGCCUUGUAAGUAAAUAAUAGGAUUUAGGGAAAUAUAUAAUCCUUCUUGCAUAUAUUUUGAAACUUAAAAGCUUCAAUAAAAACUCUUAUGGCAAAAAGGUCCCCAUGUGAAAAUAUAUAAGUAUUUUACAAGUUCAAAUCUUUAUAUUGUUAACAACUUCACCUCAUUUCGAUGAGGAAAGUCAAAGGGGUAGUAAGAGAAUUAAAAAGAGAGACAGAAAGAAAUGACCAACAGGAUGAUUUCAGAAAGGC